UCGCUUUCGAAAGGCGUUGCGCUCUUCGUCAUAGAGUUUUUGUAACUCUGAAGGGCGUGUCACCGAAAGCGUAUAAUCAAAAAUCUUCAAUACGAUUCUUUAGGAUUUUGCGAAAUUCGGAUUCGUUCGAAUUAGUAAAAACCUAAGAACCGAUGGCUUCUUUUCGUCUCCAUCGAUUAAUCGUAUUGAGAAAUUUCGAAUCUAAAGUUAGAUCUAGUUUUUGUGCGAAAUUGAUGGAUUUAGAAUUGGGAAAUUGCUUCAUAAUGGUGAACUCUCUUAGAUUAUAAAAAGUGAGAGAUGUUCAAGUUUCCGGAGCAAAUAUUAAACUGGCCAGAAUUUAACAGCUCUGUGUUUAAAUUUUACUAUUUUCACAGUGUUACCUGUCUUCUGGUAUAUUUCAUUAAAUUUCAUCACCCAAUUUUUUUGUUUUACCUGUUCUCUCACCAACACAAAUCUUUGUUUGAUUCGUCUUUUUGUUUCGUUAUUGAUUCCAAUUAUAAGUUGAAGA
rnacentral:sRNA from 1 species